ensembl:lncRNA
ACGUUUAACGUUGAUAAAAACGUACUCACGCGAGAGUUCCGGUCUUCUUCUCCUUCUCUCCGCUGCUGGAAGAAGCUGCGGUUCAAACAUGAAGUUUCCACUCGCUGAGCUUAUUUUACGUCAAAAUAUGAAACCUGCCGAACACCACCCACCAUGAAGCGGGAGGUUCAACACGCCUGAGACGAUAUUUAAUGUGGUAGACUUUACUAUGAGGGGAAAUAGCAGCGGAUUAGCGGUGCUAGUAGCUGCUAGCUAGCAGUUAGCCUGAGUAACACGUGCAGGGAGAGCACGCCGGGCGUUAGGCUGGUGACCAGUCAGAGGAGACGCUUCAAAUGAGCGACUGGUGUGUUUUAACUCUACAGGCGGCUCAGCUUCUCACCAGAAGGACGGCGUUAACUCUUUCAGGUGCGGCCCGCGUGCUGCCCUACACAGACUGACGGGAGGAAGAGGAGGGAGUAAGCUGAUGAAGAUGCUGCAGCAGCCGAUGAAGACCAGAAGAAGAAGGUGCUCGGGUCCAGAAGAGGACAUGUGAGGGUAAAUUCAGACACGUUCACGUCAUGACUGUCCUCCCUGCCUGUGAUGAUACAAGUUAUCCCUGUCUGAACUUAAAGUGUGGAGUCAUGGUAACCUGAGGCUGCCUGGAGACAUGUGCAGGGCGUCUUCGGCUGAGUGCUGCAGUUUGAUUACAUGAGUGUUCUGUUUGAUUUUACAGAUGGAGUCUGUGUGAGCAGCCUGGAUGUUAAAGAAUACACUGAAACUUAAGUGUUUGAUGUGAAAUGUUUAAUAAAAGUCAUAAAAUUC